UACUGGAAUUGGUCAUAUUGCCAAAAACUUUUAACUCUCUUUAGUACAAAAACACAUUAUGUACUUUUAUUUUGACAAUAUUUUGUUCUUAGAUUUAAAUAACAAUUCUUUUUUAGGUUGAAGCGCAAGGCCCCGUGACUUGCCUUCCCGUGGCGCGCUUCGUUAAGUGGAUUAUUUUCUUUUUAAGGAGAUAAUUCAUGAACUAAAAGUCAGGGCAUGCCAUGUUAAAAUUGCAUCACAUAUUUGUGGUAUUGAAAAGACUCAAGAAGCAUCAACUGCAUGGAACUUACUUACCAAUAUAUUAAUAUUAUACGGUUUAUGGAGGUUUAUGAAAAACAAAAUCCCAAGUUUUCUUUUUCGUAAUAUUAUCGUUUUCCUCUGUCAUCUUGAAGUGAAGAAUACAUGUGGCAUAAGUGACCAGAACGCAACAAAGUCAGACUUUCAUUCAUGCUUCCUGUUUCGCUUGGUGCUGGUGUCAAAUCUGCAAGAGUUAAUAUUGGUGCUUUUUCUGACUGUGGACUUGUUUGUUGCUUUUUUGAAUAGAUUCUGAAAUAAUGAAUACAUUCUGUAAUAAAAAGCAGUAAGUGUUUGAUGGACUCAAUUCGUCUCAAUUAAAUCCCUAUUUUUUGAAUUUUUUUUCUUUUAGCUAAUUUUGACCCAUUACUUUUAUUAAAGUGUCAAGAAAACCUAAUGCUACAUAAUGUAUUAAUUCUACAUUAUUAAACCAGAAACUUCCAAUUAAAAUUUAACAAGAGUGUCUAGACCAUGGUGACAUCUGUAGGGGUACAUUUUUUAACUUUGUAUUCUAAGAUGCCCGAAAACUGCUUGUCACGCGAUAAGUCAUUAUUGUAGCUUCCUUUAUUAUCUACGAAUUUUUAAGCCUUUGAACGUAAACAUAGUUAACGUUACACUAGUUUUUUAAAGGAAUAUUGCAUAAUAAAAAGUAAAGCAAUAACUUUUUUUAUUUUGGUAAAUUCAUGUGGGGUUUAUAGGCACAUAACAAAGUUAUUAAUGUUUUUUUUUGAUAUAUUGAAUAACGUUUUUAAAUACUUUGUAUAACAUAACAGAUUUAAUUUGUCCUUUUCUUAACUCACACAUUUAUUUAAAGAGCUUGAUUUGUUUUGUCCAUUCUUUUUAUUCAAAGGGAACCUGAGGUAUAAAAUGUUGUUGGACUUAUAUAUUAUAGAGCUUAAAAAGUUGGUUAAUAAGGCUUUAAAUUUUUUUUGAAAAGCUCUUUUUCGUUCUAAAGAUAUUCACAUUUACAGAAUUUCAGAAUCAAUUAUGCUGCAUAAAUAUGAUGUCAUAUUUAAUCAAUAGCAAAUUUCUAAUUUUUUGUCAGUGCCAAUACC